rnacentral:misc_RNA from 1 species
UACGGAGGGUGCAAGCGUUAAUCGGAAUUACUGGGCGUAAAGCGCGCGUAGGCGGUUCGAUGAGUCAGAUGUGAAAGCCCCGGGCUUAACCUGGGAAUGGCAUUUGAUACUGUCGGACUCGAGUCUGGGAGAGGGAAGGGGAAUUCCGGGUGUAGCGGUGAAAUGCGUAGAUAUCCGGAGGAACACCGGUGGCGAAGGCGCCUUCCUGGCCUAAGACUGACGCUGAGGUGCGAAAGCGUGGGGAGCAAACAGG